rnacentral:rRNA from 1 species
GAUGAACGCUGGCGGCGUGCUUAACACAUGCAAGUCGAACGAAGCACUUAAGAAUGAUUCUUCGGAUGAAUUUUUUUGUGACUUAGUGGCGGACGGGUGAGUAACGCGUGGGUAACCUGCCUCACACAGGGGGAUAACAGUUGGAAACGACCGCUAAUACCGCAUAACCCGCUAGGGCCGCAUGGCCCGGACGGAAAAGAUUUAUCGGUGUGAGAUGGACCCGCGUUGGAUUAGCUAGUUGGCAGGGUAACGGCCUACCAAGGCGACGAUCCAUAGCCGGCCUGAGAGGGUGAACGGCCACAUUGGGACUGAGACACGGCCCAAACUCCUACGGGAGGCAGCAGUGGGGAAUAUUGCACAAUGGGGGAAACCCUGAUGCAGCGACGCCGCGUGAGUGAAGAAGUAUUUCGGUAUGUAAAGCUCUAUCAGCAGGGAAGAAAAUGACGGUACCUGACUAAGAAGCCCCGGCUAACUACGUGC